AUGGCGACGGGGGCGGAGGAGGGCAGCACUGGACUGGAGUUCCUAUCAGAUCCGGUUCCCUUGCCGGAUCUUGCAUCAAGCGAUUUCACGCCAGCGGGUGAGCCAGAUACUUGUCUUACACAGUCAGCUGCUGAAUCGAGCAUCGGAGAUAUUGGGGACGUACGCACCCCUUACAUUCCAGUUCGCAUGAACAACGGCUGCGAAGAACUGAGCUUGUUGGCGGCCGAUUCGCAACAAUCAACAGGGAAGGAUUACCCUCAAGCCCCCGGGUGGACAAAAAGGGUUCAUAUUGGGCGAGCCCCUGUCGAGCGUCCACCUUGUGUUGUAGUGUACAUAGUGCAUAUUCUCGCUGAGGGUGAAGAACUCUCAUGUGAAUGUGAUAACUUUAAGCACACAGGAUUGCUAUGCUGCCAUUCAGUUAAGGUUCUUGAUUUCUUGGGUAUAGACAAAAUUCCAUCAAAGCAUAUCCUCAAAGGGUGGACAAAAGAUGCAAGAGAUAUACUUCCAAAUCACUUGGCACACCUACAAAGAGACAAGAUUUCAGCCAACUCCAUAACAUUCAGACAUUCAAAUUUGUAUGCACACGCUUUAGUGGUUGUAAAACUUGGUGAUGCAAAUCCAAUUGCAUAUGAUUGCGCGAUGGAACUUCUUAGGGAAGCAAUGGAUAAACUGAGCCCUUUAGCUGCUGAGCAUGAUGGUCUGGGUUUGGAACACAUAAUUUAA
rnacentral:rRNA from 1 species